rnacentral:rRNA from 1 species
GCCUAAUACAUGCAAGUCGAGGGGCAGCGCAGUGUAGCAAUACAUGGGCGGCGACCGGCAAACGGGUGCGGAACACGUACGCAACCUUCCUUUAAGCGGGGGAUAGCCCAUAGAAAUGUGGAUUAAUACCCCUUAAGAUCAUGGACUGGCAUCAGUCAGUGAUUAAAGCUCCGGCACUUAGAGAUGGGCGUGCGCCUGAUUAGGUAGUUGGUGAGGUAACGGCUCACCAAGCCGACGAUCAGUAACUGGCGUGAGAGCGCGACCAGUCACACGGGCACUGAGACACGGGCCCGACUCCUACGGGAGGCAGCAGUAAGGAAUAUUGGUCAAUGGACGCAAGUCUGAACCAGCCAUGCCGCGUGGAGGAUGAAGGUCCUCUGGAUUGUAAACUUCUUUUAUCUGGGAAGAAAUGCCGAUUUUCUAAUUGGUUUGACGGUACCAGAUGAAUAAGCACCGGCUAACUCCGUGCCAGCAGCCGCGGUAAUACGGAGGGUGCAAGCGUUAUCCGGAUUCACUGGGUUUAAAGGGUGCGUAGGCGGAAUUGUAAGUCCGUGGUGAAAUCUCCGAGCUUAACUCGGAAACUGCCGUGGAUACUAUAGUUCUUGAAUGUUGUGGAGGUUUGCGGAAUAUGUCAUGUAGCGGUGAAAUGCUUAGAUAUGACAUAGAACACCGAUUGCGAAGGCAGCAGGCUACACAAAUAUUGACGCUGAGGCACGAAAGCGUGGGGAUCAAACAGGAUUAGAUACCCUGGUAGUCCACGCCCUAAACGAUGAUUACUCGACAUACGCGAUAUACAGUGU